rnacentral:hammerhead_ribozyme from 1 species
AUCCAGUUGAUGAGUUCUAGGUAGGACGAAACACACGUCCUGGAU